rnacentral:lncRNA from 1 species
AUCUAUUUGAAUAUACAGCCCCCUCUUCCCCUCUUCACAAACAGCUCCUUUGGAUCAUCACUGUGUCUCUGCAAGAGAUGAGAGAGUUGAACAGAGGCCAUGGGACCUUUCAUUCAAGAAUCUCAGUGCACUUUUGAAAUGAGAUAUUCUCAAUAUCAAGCCAACACACAGGGAAGAAAUAAUUCUAAGGAUCCUGAAAGAAAUUCCAGGACAAGGACGGUGACUGGCAGAGCAACCUCUUCCCCCAUGACAUCAAACGUAGGCAGAGGUAAGGAGAGUGAAGGGAGUCUGUGUCAAGGGCAAAGAACAGGUCAAGGGGGAACUCCCUGCAGGACAGUUGUUUUCCAUGCAUUAAUGAAGGCAACCUUAGAAUGUUUAAAAACCUACACCAGAAAAAAAGAGUGUUGAAUAGAGAAGAAAUCUUUAAUGUAAGUAAAGUGGCAAACUUUAGUUCAUUGUAUGGAAUAGGAUAAAGCGUUAUUCAGUGACAGAAGAGAGGUUUCUCAUUUAAUGCAUCCAAAAAUCCCGGGUUUUAGAGCUCCUGGUGUGGAAGUGAAAGCAUAAGAG